rnacentral:tRNA from 1 species
ACAUAUAAUAUGUACAUUAUCCAGUAGACCCAUAAUGGUAAAUGAAAGUGGCUAAUUAUUGAAUAAAAAGCCCUUU